GUCCAGGGGAGGGCGCUAGGUAGAAAGGGUCCUGUGGUCUCAGCUGUAAUACCAGUCCAGUCCAGGGGAGGGCGCUAGGUAGAAAGGAUCCUGUGGUCUCAGCU